rnacentral:rRNA from 1 species
UACAGAGGGUGCAAGCGUUAAUCGGAAUUACUGGGCGUAAAGCGUGCGUAGACGGUUAUGUAAGUCGGAUGUGAAAGCCCCGGGCUCAACCUGGGAAUUGCAUUCGAGACUGCAUAGCUAGGAUGCGGAAGAGGGAAGUGGAAUUUCCGGUGUAGCGGUGAAAUGCGUAGAUAUCGGAAGGAACAUCAGUGGCGAAAGCGACUUCCUGGUCCAGCAUCGACGUUCAGGCACGAAAGCGUGGGGAGCGAACGGG